rnacentral:rRNA from 1 species
GAUGAACGCUGGCGGCGUGCCUAAUACAUGCAAGUCGAGCGAACAGACGAGGAGCUUGCUCCUCUGACGUUAGCGGCGGACGGAUGAGUAACACGUGGAUAACCUACCUAUAAGACUGGGAUAACUUCGGGAAACCGGAGCUAAUACCGGAUAAUAUAUUGAACCGCAUGGUUCAAUAGUGAAAGACGGUUUUGCUGUCACUUAUAGAUGGAUCCGCGCCGCAUUAGCUAGUUGGUAAGGUAACGGCUUACAAAGGCAACGAUGCGUAGCCGACCUGAGAGGGUGAUCGGCCACACUGGAACUGAGACACGGUCCAGACUCCUACGGGAGGCAGCAGUAGGGAAUCUUCCGCAAUGGGCGAAAGCCUGACGGAGCAACGCCGCAUGAGUGAUGAAGGUCUUCGGAUCGUAAAACUCUGUUAUUAGGGAAGAACAAAUGUGUAAGUAACUAUGCACGUCUUGACGGUACCUAAUCAGAAAGCCACGGCUAACUACGUG